UUCAAGAAAAUAUUUGAAAAUAAAUUAUAUUGCCUUUUGCCCAUGAAUCAGCAAAUAAAAUAUGGCCUAAAGAGAAAGAAAAUAGACAAUUAUGAGAAAAUUCAGAUAUUUAUUUAACAUUUGUACUAUUUGUUUGGAGGUUAUAAUUCAACUGAGUCAGACUGAGAAACAAGAAAGAUAAAGCAAACACUGAAAUACAUUGUAUUUUUUAAACCUGUAAUUUAUAUUUGUGUUUUAGUUCUGCUUCCCACUGAUUUACAUUGUAUCAGAAAUUCAAGUUAUCUUGAAAAUUAUAGCUCUGAUUGCAAAAGUCAUGUAUGCUCAAUUGAGAAACUUAAAAUAGAUGUAUUCCAUUGAGAUUUUUUUUUUCCAGUACUGGGGAUCCAACUCAGGACCUUGUGCUUGUGAGGCAGGUAGCCCUGGCUGGCCUCAAACUCACAGCAAUCUUCCUGCCUCAGCCUCCCUAGUGUGUGUGCCACACCCAGUUCCUUUGAGAUUUAACAGCAAGUGAUCAGGCUGUGUGAGAAGUCGGUUUCUUGAAUUGCCACCAGAGGGCGAUCAACCCAAACUUUGCUUGAAUAUGAAGAGUAACCAUAUGUUGUAGUAGAAAUAAGGCAAGAGUAAACUACAGAUUUUCACACUUUCACAUAUUAAGAAAAGGAAGGGAAACUUAAAAUCUAUAAUCAGAGGAGCACUGUGCAUCUAGUACACUUUAGAGGUAAGACCAAUAUGAACUGGUUCUGUUUAAAUUAUUGAUAUAUUUAAAAAAUGUAAUUUAUUUGUAAACAAUUUCAAAUAUAUAGAAGCUGUAAAAUCAUGAUAAAGAAAUCCCACAUCCAUUUUACUGAGAUUCCCCAGACAAUCCUCUCUCUCUCUCUCUCUCCCUCUCUCCCCUCUCCCUCCCUCCCUCCCCACUGGUGUCCCCCUCUCUCAUCUUUAAUCUUUAUUACUCUUUAGUCUGUUUUGAACCAUCAUGUACAAACCUCAGACAGGAUGCUCCAUCACCUCUGUAUACGUCAGUGUGCACCUUUCCAGAGCAAAGGCUACUUUCUCCUUAAGCAGAGCAUAACCCUUUCAAUCAAGAAAUCAGUACUGGCACAACACUGCGGUCCCACCCAAACCACAACCUGUUCAAAUUUUGCAACUCCUUCAACAAUGUCUCUUUUUCUUUUUUGUUUCAGGGUACAUUUCAAGAUCACACAUUGGAUGUAGUUGUCAUUUCACUUUGACAGCUUUUUUUUUUUAAAGACUUUCAAUUUUUUAAAAAAGACUGCCAAUUUGGGGCUUUUUGUUUGUUUGUUUGUUUUUUUGAGACAGGGUCUGGCUAGUUCAGACUGGCCUUGAACUCACUAUGUAGCCCAGGCUAGCCUCAAACUCACAGCAAUCCUCCUGCUUCAGCUUCCUGGGUGCUGGAAUGACAGGCAUGUACUACCCUAUCUGGCUUAUUUUGAUAUCUUUGACAUCUUUAGUAACUACUGGCCUUCGCUGUAAGGUAGUCCUUCAUGUGCCUCUGUCAGAUGUCUUCUCAUGAACACAUUCAGAUGAUUCAUUCCUUGCUAAAGGACAAAAAAAUUCUGCUGUGAUUUUCUUAAUGCUUCACAUCAUAGAGGAACUUAUUGUCAUCCCAUCUUAACAAAAGUGAUAACAACCACGGCUUCCAGAACAAAGUACCACAGAUUGGAGGCUUAAAUAACAAAAAUUUAUAUCUCGCAAUUCUGGGGGCUAGAAGUCCAUAAUGAAGGUGCCAGUGGAUUGGUUUAUUGUGAGGCCUCUCUCUUUGGCCUGCAGAUGGCCAUCUUAUCCUUGUGUAUUCAUGCAGCCUUCCCUCUGUGCAUGUCUGUGUCCAUGUUCCCUCUUCUGAGCACAGUAGUCCUGUUGGAGUAGGACCCACCUUAAUGACCUUAUUUUAGCAUGAACAUUUCCUUAAAGAACUUAUGGGCUGGUGCAGCUUGGUGAUGGAGCACCUGCUUGCAUGUGCAAAGCCCUUGUUUCAAUUCCUAGCACUGAAAAAAAGAGAGAAAAUCAACAGACCCUCUCUCCAAAUCAACCACAUUCUAAGGUAUGGGGUGUUAGAACUUCAACUUAUAAAUUCUAGGGGGACAAUUCAGCCCACAGCAAUAGCCUUUAUCACCUCGUCAAGGUGGGGGAAGUUUCUCCACUGUAUUGUCACCAUUUUUCCUCGGUAACUGAUAUUUUAUGGAGAAGUGUACUCAGACUAGAUCAGUAUGCUGUAUCCUGUAUCAGACCCCCAUCCACAAGCUUUACCAUCCGCUGAUUAUUCUUAUUUGAGUCAGCUGUCAUUAUAAUAACCUGAAAUGAUUUUUUCUUUUUCCAUUAUGCCCUCUAUAAUUGGCAUUCUACUACAAAGACAAGCUUUCCUUUCUCACUUAUUUUUUAUUUAGAUCAGUAUACAAUUAUAGCUUUGGUUUUUUAUUCAGGGGGCUAUAAUUCGUUUCUAUCUUUUUUUCCCUCAAAUUGACCUUGAUUUGACCAAUGAAGUCCUUCCCUGUGUCUUUUUUUUUAAUUACAUGAUUUCAUUAUUUCUUAUUUUUUCUUUUUUUAAAUUUUAUUUAAUUUUUUAUUUUGAGGUAAGUUCUCACUAAACUGCUAAGUUGUCCAGGCUGGACUCAAACUUGAGAACUUCUUGCCUCAGCCUCUGAGGAUGCUGGAAUUGCAGGCAUGUGCUACCAUGCCCAGUUGGUUCCAUUAUUUCUUGACCAUUUCCUCACUUAUGCAACAAAGUGUUCCAAGUUCACCAUGUGUGUUUUUCGUCCUACUCCUGGAAUCAGCCAGUUCUCUAAGGAGUCCUAGUUCCUUUUAGUGAAAACGAAUGUUUGGAAACCAGUAUACUCAUUGUCAUUGGAGUGUGACAUAGGCAUUGCCGCUGAGCUCUCUCAUGAAGAGAAACAGAAGACACCCAUAUACAUGUACACUAUGUAACUAUUUCUAUUUUUAUGUAAACCCAAAGUUUAUGUUGACAUCUUUCAACUUAUCAUCUUAGAGGUCAUCUCCUCCCUUCCUUAAUUGUAAUCUCUUCCACAGGAAAAAACAAAAUAACAAAAUAAAAACAAACAAGAAAAAUCACUUUCACAAUUCUUAAUGUAGUUAUUUGCUUAUUCCAAAAUCCCUACUAUCCUACUUCAGUCUCUAUUCAUGGCCCCUACUCUCUUAUUUGACUUUAAAUCUAUACAUGGUCUAUCAUUUCAUAUACUCAUUGAGAAGGAAUAAACUUGUCCAGAUAAAUCAUAAGAUAUUCACCAGUUUAAAACAAUUAACAUUCAACCUCCUGGAAAUAUACAUUUUAACUACAAAAUAAGUUAUGAGCAUGCUUUUAUAAAACACUGAAUUAAUUUUUUGGUUUUUUCCCCUUUUCUUUAGUAGAAUGUUUGCAAUUUACUAUAAUAAAUAUACUCAUCACUCAGAAUUGGUACAUAUGCAUAUUACAUCUUGAUCCUUUUCAUUUCCCCUUCCCUAUCCUUCCCUUCCAUCUUACCCCAGCCUCAUAUCCUUUUCCCAUCUCCAUUAUAGUCUACCACUACUUCCUAUCUAAUUUUUGUUCUAUAACAUACUGAUUGAAAAACUUGGAGUUUGUUUACUGAAGUAAAUGAACUCACCAGAGUUGUGUUCCCUGAUUUAUAUGACCGUGUAGUCCCAAAAACUCCUGGCUUUGAGAAAUUUUGCUUCUCUUUCAGCCUGCUCAAGACACUGUAGUUUUAGCAGAUCCAAAUCUAAACACACCAGCAAAACUGGUCGAUCUGAUGCACUUAUCACGUACUUUCACAACAAUUAAAUAAUAUUAUUGCUAUUUAGCCCACUAAACCUUUAGAAUAGGUCUGUGGGUUGGUCAAGCCAUGGUACUGGGGUCUCCACUUUAUGGAGGAGAAAAACAACACUCCGUGAGAUUUGGAGACUGCAGUCCAGAUUCUUAUAACUCAGAGUUCACUAGUCCAAUUGGAACUACAUCCCUUCCAAAUCCAACACAAUUUUCAUCUUUCUAAGAAAAAGAAAGUAAGGUAAGAGACUGUCAUUAUAUAACCAAAAAUCAUGUCUUUGCUAAUCCAUGAAAAUAUUUCAGUUUAAAAAUCUUUUUCCCUAGAAAAGACAAACUAUGGGAGAAUCUUUCCAAGACUGUGGACAGCACCAUUCAAUUCCUGUAUUACAUCUGGUGAAUGAAACAAUAGUAAUUCUGUUGCCAAAUACAUUGUAUGGUAAUCUUUCAACAUUCUCCUCCCCAUAAAGCUCUAUGGUCCCCUUCCCCCAGGAGCCCAUACAGGACAAAAUUGCUGCCUCACACCUUUGCACAGUGUGGCUCAGUUUCUAAAUACGGCAGACUACAAUAACAGACUAUGUGUCUGCUCCUCUGCUUAAACUGAACUCAGCUAAUCCAGUCCACAUAGAUAAAAAUCUCUCCUACUCUGAAAAUGAACUAGAGAAUACACUCUAGUACAUCAAAUUGAUUAAGGCUAUUUGUAAGAGAAGUGAUUCCUUUGUUUUGGUUCCAGUUGCGUAUUUUAAACUAUACACGUGCUGUCUUAUGUCUGUCCACAGUAGUUAUUAAUAGCUAACUUUUCCUGAGCACUGUUCUAAUAGAACAUAGAAAAGGCGUAAAAUGGGGUUCUUUCUCAGAUUUGGCUGAAGCAACAAGACGAGAUUUUAAACACCAAGUUGAGUUGUUGAACAGAUCACCCCAAAGAUUGAUUGAUUGAUUGAUUGAUUGAUUUAAAAUAAGAUUUAGUUGAAAAGUAGUUGCACAAUCUUUAACUUCUUUGGCCAGGUCAAAUGCAGUAAUACUUUGCUUAACAAUGAAGCUGUGUUCUGAGAAAUUCAUUGUUAAAUGACUUCAUUCUUGUGUAAAUAUCAUGGCAUAUUCUCAGUCUCACCCAGGUGAUACAGGUUACUAAUGCCAUGUGCCCCUGAUGUGAUCAAGAGAGAUGACAAACACAAGAUGGAAGGAACUGCUAUUUUUAGUAACUGGAAAGAAUACAUUCUAAAGUAAUGGUACAGUAUAAUAAAUGUGUAACCUGUAACAGAGUCAUUUAUCAUUAGCAAGCAUUAUGGACUGGCCUUAAUUGUAGAUGCAACACUCUUAUGUGACUGGCAUUAUUGUUGGUGUGUUUAUAUCACAGACACAUGAAUAAUACUUUCCAUCAGAAUAACACAUUGCAGUAGGGCAUCCCUAGGCAAUAGCUUUGACGGAAAUGUUGUUAUGUGGCUUAUGACUAUAAAAGAAUGGAAACUGAGAGAAUAUUUUUGAAGAAAUUACUAUUUGUAAAGAGGCAUUGUAAAGAUCCUUUUCCUCCUGGGCCCGCAGAAUACAAAGACAUGCUUCCUUCUUCAACUCAAGUCAGGAAAGGUGUCCCUGGAACCGUCCUGGGCUUCAUAGUGUCCUCUGCCAUGGUAUUGCACCAGAGAGCAAGAGUGAAGGGUGGAUCAGAGAGGUCAUCAUGGGGUGAAAAGAGUCACUGCCGCUGUAAGAUCAACCUGCACUCCCAGAGUCUGUUGGGACAAAGAGGCCACCCACACGCUGACCAUGAGGAUGAGGAUGCUGGCUUGGAAACUUCUAAAAACCUUGGCCAAGGGGUUACCUGGAACAACAGUGGGCCUGCAAAAGAGAAUCCAUGACAACGGGAUGUGCAGGUGUGCACAUGCGUUCACACUGGGCUUCAAGGAAAAUGGAAAGAGGAGAGGAAAUGAAUCCAGGGGAUGUUGACAAAGGUGUUCGAUGCCCAAGGAAAGAAGGAGGUCUUACCCAGAGGUCAGAAGCUGCUACAGUCCCUGGGCUGGAGCUGCUGAGAAUUUGGAGAUGCUGCCUCAGGAUCACUUCGGGAGCUUUGAAUACUGUUCAGCUCCUUGUAUGCCGUCACUGGUGUUGCCAUUGAUGGUGCUUGGAGGAGAAAAGAGUCCUCACUUCCCACCUAUUGAUCUUCCCUUGAAGAGAGGGAAUGUGGGAAAUGACACAAAGGAAAGGUGAGAGGUGAGGGGAAUGGGGCAGAUAAUCAAUAGACCCUGUCUGCUAUGAAGACAAACAGAGAUUCAGUGACUACUUGGGUUAGGGAUAUUCAAGACUAGACGACACAUGUGAUAUUCAGAGUUCACAAGACCCCUUUCACUUCUGAUACCAGCUGUUCAAAAAUUCAAGGGUCCUCAAGACCAUAAACAGUUUUGAUAAUUUUCCAGGAGGACUGAAAGAGCUCACUGAAAGCUGACAUAUUCACAAUGGUGGUUUAUUACAGCUAAAGAGCACAGACUUAAAUCAGCCAAAAGAAGAAGCACAUGGGACCAAGUCCAGGAGAGCUCUAAGGGCAAAGCUUUCCCAACAAAGGCAUAAAUGGCACUAAC